rnacentral:lncRNA from 1 species
GGGGUGUGCAUCGGUCGGUUCGGUUCGGUAUCGAAUCGAAUCGGCUAAAACCGAUUUAACCGAAUUUAUUUAAAUUGCAGACCGAACCGAACCGAAUAAGAUAGAAAACCGAAUCGAACCGAAUCGAAUUAGUUCGGUUCGGUUCGGUUCGAAAUCGGUUUUUAAGCUUUUCUCUAAUUAAACUACAAAAAUAAUUAUAAUUUACCACAUUGUAAGCGUAGAUGCAAGCCGCGAUGGUAAGCGGAG